rnacentral:lncRNA from 1 species
CUGGGAAAUGUAGUCAUCUGGCUGAGGCGAACUGUCACUCUGAGGAGUGAGCCCCAAAUCAGAUUCCUUCCUGGGCUUACUUCCUAUGUCCUGGCCCAAAGUCAAAUUCCUGCCAAGUGGCCCCAAAAUAUUUCCACAGAUCUCAAAGAAACCUACCAAGCCUAUGAACAGCCUCGAAAGAAAGACGAAAAGGCAACUGUCAGUAAUGAUCCCACACAACACAGAUGUGAUAGCAGCUGAUGGCAGAGGAGGCAGAGGAAAUAGAACCUCACUUCUGCAAAUGGAUUCUUCGGCUCACCAAUUUCCUUGUUGGGCACUGUGGAGGCUGUGAGAUUAACCAGGGCUGUAUAAAAGGAAAGAAGGGAGGAAGGCACAUGGAAGACUGUCACCUUUCAGCAAAUGACAUCCUUAAGCAUUUAACAUCUCAGCUACAGUCUACUUGAUGUGGCCAAUGUGACAUUUGUCUUGCCAAAACCUUGUAUCAUCAGGACUAAUGCCUGGAAUAAAGCAA